UGCCCCAUAGUUAAAUGGAUAUAACGGCCCCCUCCUAAGGGGCAGUUGUAGGUUCGAUUCCUACUGGGGCAGCCA
rnacentral:tRNA from 1 species